rnacentral:tRNA from 6 species
GACCGGGGCUAUCAACCACUCGGCCAUCUCUC